ensembl:lncRNA
AUAGAUCUGCGCCCCAUAGAUCCGGGCCCCAUAGAUCCGGGCUCCUAUAGAGCUGUGCCCCAUAGAUCUGGGCCCCUAUAGAGCUAAGCCCCAUAGAGCUCUGCGCCCCAUAGAGCUGGGCCCCAUAGAGCUGGGCCCCAUAGAUCCGGGCCCCUAUAGAGCUAAGCCCCAUAGAGCUGUGCCCCAUAAAUCCGGGCUCCUAUAGAUCCAGCCCCAUAGAUCCACACCCCAUAGAGCUGUGCCCCAUAGAUCUUUGUCCCCAUAAAUCCUCAUCCCAUAGAGCAGCACCCCAUAGAUCUGAGCCCCAUAGAUCUGCGCCCCCAUAGAUCUUUGUCCCCAUAGAUCUGAGCCCCAUAGAUUUGUGCCCCAUAGAUCUUUGUCCCCAUAGAUCCUCAUCCCAUAGAGCAGCACCCCAUAGAUCUGCGCCCCCAUAGAGCUGAGCCCCAUAGAUCCACACUCCCAUAGAUCCAGGCCCCUAUAGAUCUACACCCCAUAGAUCUGCGCCCCACAGAUCUGUGCCCCAUAGAGCAGCACCCCACAGAUCCACACUCCCAUAGAUCCGAGCACCCACAGAGCUGAGCCCCAUAGAUCCGAGCCCGACAAAUCCCAGCCCCAUAGAACCGAACCCCGUAGAUCCACGCCCCAUAGAACCACGCCUCACGGAACUGCGCCCCAUAGAAGCGUGCCCCACAGAUCCACGCCCUGCUGCCCCGUGCCCCAUAGAAACGUGCCCCACAGAUCCACGCCCCGCUGCCCCGUGCCCCAUAGAUCUACACCCCAUAGGUAUAGGAGCCCCAUAGAUCCCUGCCCCAUAGCCCAAUAUCCCACAGAUCCAUGUCCCACUGCCCCACAGAUCUGCACCCCAUAGAUACAUUCAGCCCCACAGAUUCACACCCGUCAGGCAUCUGGGUUUGCCCCUCGGCAGCCCCACAUCGCCCCAUAGUGCCCCACACCGCCCCACACUGCCCCGUAGCGCCCCACACUGCCCCAUAGCGCCCCAUAGCUCCACACCGCCCCACAGCGCCCCACAGCGCCUCACCCCAUGCCCAUGAGGUAGCGGGGUUUGCCCCUUGGCAGCCCCAUAGCACCCCACACUGUCCCACACCGCCCCAUAGCGCCCCACAUCACCCCACACUGCCCCAUAGCGCCCCACACUGCCCCAUAGCGCCCCACACCGCCCCAUAGGGCCUCACCCCAUGCCCAUCAGGUAGCGGGGUUUGUCAUGGCAGCCCCAUAGCGCCCCACAUAGCCCCACACUGCCCCAUAGCACCCCACACUGCCCCAUAGCGCCCCACACUGCCCCAUAGCGCCCCACACUGCCCCUCAUUGCCCCACAGCGCCCCACAGCGCCCCACAGCGCCCCAUAGCACCUCACCCCAUGCCCAUGAGGUAGCGGGGUUUGUCGUGCGGCAGCCCCAUAGCGCCCCACACUGCCCCAUAGCGCCCCACAUUGCCCCAUAGCGCCCCACAUCGCCCCAUAGCACCCCACAUUGCCCCACAUCGCCUCACCCCACGCCCAUGAGGUAGCGCGGUUUGUGGUGCGGCAGCCCCAUAGCACCCCACACCGCCCCACAUCGCCCCACACUGCCCCAUAGUGCCCGUCAUUGCCCCACAUUGCCCCACAUCGCCUCACCCCAUGCCCAUCAGGUAGCGGGGUUUGUCAUGGCAGCCCCAUAGCGCCCCACAUCGCCCCACAGCGCCCC